rnacentral:rRNA from 1 species
AUACGGAGGGGGCUAGCGUUGUUCGGAAUUACUGGGCGUAAAGCGCGCGUAGGCGGUUUGCCAAGUCAGGCGUGAAAUCCCCGGGCUCAACCUGGGAACUGCGUUUGAUACUGGCAGACUAGAGGCCGGGAGAGGGUAGUGGAAUUCCCAGUGUAGAGGUGAAAUUCGUAGAUAUUGGGAAGAACACCGGUGGCGAAGGCGGCUACCUGGACCGGUUCUGACGCUGAGGUGCGAAAGCGUGGGGAGCAAACAGGAUUAGAAACCCCAGUAGUCC